AACGAACGCUGGCGGCAGGCUUAACACAUGCAAGUCGAACGGAUGUAGCAAUACAUCAGUGGCAGACGGGUGAGUAACACGUGGGAACCUUCCUCGUUGUACGGGACAACUCAGGGAAACUUGAGCUAAUACCGUAUAAGUCCGAGAGGAGAAAGAUUUAUCGCAAUGAGACGGGCCCGCGUCGGAUUAGCUAGUUGGUGGGGUAACGGCCGUACCAAGGCGACGAUCCGUAGCNGAUCUGAGAGGAUGAUCAGCCACACUGGGACGUGAGACACGGCCCACGACUCCUACGGGAGGCAGCAGUGGGGAAGUCUUGGACAAUGGGCGCAAGCCUGAUCCAGCCAUGCCGCGUGAGUGAAGAAGGCCUUAGGGUUGUAAGCUCUUUUGCCAGGGACGAUAAUGACGGUACCUGGAGAAUAAGCCCCGGC
rnacentral:rRNA from 1 species